UGGGGCGUAUGAAGCAAGGUGAUGGUAGCAGAGGGCUUCAGCAGUGAUCUCUGUGAGCAGAGCCCCACAGUGCGCCAUGUCAGAGCACAGCAGCUCCAGCUGCUCCAACAGGGCCCCACUGCUGCCAGAGAACAACUGCUGCACAGCUGGGAGAGAGGGGGGAGCAACGAGAGAGCAGCGGCCCUGAGAGCACCGGGCUCAGGGCAGGAGGUGGGCAGGAGGCACUCCAGCAGCUCCAUGCAGCCCAGGACAGGCCCACGGAGGAGCAGGCCGUCCCCUGCAGCCCAUGGGCACCAGGUCCGUGAUGGUAGUUGUUGCGCGAUCGCCUUGUCCUCAUCUCAACCCAUGAGAUUUUUUUGCAACAAAUUUUGUCCCUAUGCCCUUCUGAGGAGGAAGAGUGAGAGCAGCGUGGGAUGUUGAGCUGCCUACUGGUGUGAAACAACCACAGCCAUAAAGCUGUGCCCCCCGUAUGCAGCUGGUGUAUACAGAUGCGAGCAGAAGGGGAAAGAAGAAAAGAGUAGUUGUUUGUUCUCCUUCACAGCUGUGCAGAACAGAUUCUUCAGCACCUCCGAAGCACAGAAAACAGAGACGCACAGAAACAACAUCAGUUUGCCAAGGCACACUGUCGGAAUAAAACCCGAGUCUUCCUGGGCUAACCAGAGUUGAAUUAUCAGAAGGAGUGAAAGUGCUUGCAGGUAGUUUUGUGGGUGUUCCACUGAGUUACGUAGCACAUGACCUAUGCUCCUAAAAGGAAGAUGCUGCACUCUUGCUCUUUGACUAUAUCUAUAAAACAACAGAUGUACUCAUAGAUAUCUGAAAUAGACUUCUGAUCUAUCCAAAAUCUGGG
ensembl:lncRNA